UGGUGGGUUGCCUUGUCAGGUUGAUUCCGGUAACGAACGAGACCUCAGCCUGCUAAAUAGUCACGAUUGGUUUUCCAGUCGGCCGACUUCUUAGAGGGACUAUUGGCGAUUAGCCAGUGGAAGUGUGAGGCAAUAACA
rnacentral:rRNA from 1 species